rnacentral:misc_RNA from 1 species
CGCCGCCGCACACGCGGAGCAGCACGAACAUGAAGAAGGCUUCCAGCUGCAAUUUGAGGAACCUGGUGAAGCAGAGCAAUGCAGUUGCCAAGAGUUAGAAGAACCUGCCACUGAUGCUAACAUUAUAUUGCUGGCUGGCUCACCGGCGCAAGAAGUGGUACAGGUUGAGUGCAGUACUGCAGAUCAUCGAGAGGACGAGGGGGCUGUAUUCGGUGGCGUAGUGAAUCAGGUGGAAGAAGAGGUCGUCCUGGAUGAGGCGCAGGAGCUUGGGGUGCUUGCCGAUGGCCUCGCCGCCAAGUUCGACGGCGGUGUUGACGAGCACGAGAGAGAAUAGCAUCACAUCCUCCUCGGAGGUGAAGGCCCCCUGGCCAUCCGGGGUUAUUACCAUGUCGCUGGCGCUCACCAGCAGGGAACAGAGGAAGUUGAAGACGUCGACCAUGCAGCGCGCGCCGAAGCCAGCGCCGG